UGCAGGCUCCGUCCCGCAGGUCCUUGGCCUCUGGAAGCCAAGCUGAGUGGGCGGAGCUCCGGGGAGGGGAGGGAGGGUGG
rnacentral:miRNA from 1 species